rnacentral:rRNA from 1 species
CCUACGGGAGGCAGCAGUAAGGAAUAUUGGACAAUGGAGGCAACUCUGAUCCAGCCAUGCCGCGUGAAGGAAUAAGGCCCUAUGGGUUGUAAACUUCUUUUAGACGGGACAAAACCCUUUACGUGUAAAGGGUUGAUGGUACUGUCAGAAUAAGCAUCGGCUAACUUCGUGC